AGUCGAGUUGUUUGGGAAUGCAGCUCAAAAUGGGUGGUGAGUUCCAUCUAAGGCUAAAUAUUGGCGAGAGACCGAUAGCGAACAAGUACCGUGAGGGAAAGAUGAAAAGCACUUUGGAAAGAGAGUUAAACAGUACGUGAAAUUGUUGAAAGGGAAACGAUUGAAGUCAGUCGUGUCCAAGGGGUUCAGCCGGUUCUGCCGGUGUAUUCCUCUUGGACGGGUCAACAUC
rnacentral:rRNA from 1 species